AAAAUUAUUGCAAAAAGUAAAUAAUCCGACAUCUUUUACUUUCUAGCUACUUACUGGUGCGCUAACAUUUACUAUCAUGAGUCAUACGCGUCAUGAGUUACGGGGCGCAAGCCAGACAAAGUCGCGAAAAGUACUUGGAAUAAGCAAAAGUACCGUUGUAAAAAUCAUUUCUUACAAUCGACACAGAAUUCGACUCGGGAACAGAAAUCGUAACACUAUUAUACCAAUAAUCGCCCUACCCAAAUAUAUUCCUUUGCGGUACAUCCGACCCACCAUUGUGAAUAGACGCAGCGACCAAAGCGCGAGUAGAAGCGCGCGGACCUCUGAACCAGAGUGCUCCUCGCUAAUCCUAGCCGGAAAGCUCGACUGCCCACCUCUUGGAGACACCAAGUGACCAAGUCUUGGUGGAUCCACGGAGGAAUUAUAACCCCAGAUGAGAUUCGACGACCCGGAAUUUCUGACGUAAUCUCGAAACCGGACUCGAGCUAAAAUGCUGUCUAUAACGGUCAUCCCACGAGCCUAAGGGCGAUAAGGACGCCUAUGAGCACGAGGUAUUUUAUUCUUUUUUCUAAAAUUAUUCUAAAAUACCCCUAAGACGGGUAAUGGAAGAACGAAGCCUCCAGAGAAGAAUAAGAUUGGAAGAAUACAAAUAAGCUAUAAAUUAGAGGAAAAUCAAACAUUUACCAAGAAGUUUACGUGAUAAUGAACCAAUAAUACAAAACUUCGAAAAGCACUCAGAAAAUAUACGAUGCAAUUUACUAACGGAUAAACAGCAAUUCUGGUAGUAGUGAGAACUCUGUCAAUGGGGAUAGACGAAAACUGUCGAGACAGCGUCAGCACUCAGUCUGGAAGUCAAGGUGCGAUGGCGGACGGUAAAGAACGCGACGAACGUCGGGGACAAAUAGCGCGAAUGUACGCAAAAAAUAUAUCAUAUUAUAUUAUGAUUCAAUUAUUUAAUCGCGAGGCAAUUACGAUUGUUUUUGAAACAGAGCGUGUUAAGUUUCUUAACCGCGCAUGGGAGGGUUAAGAUGUAAAAAUAUAAUCUCAAAAGUAAUAAAUAGGUAAUUGUCAUUCGCUAUGUAAAACAGCAGAGAUAAUAUUACGAAGAAUAAAUAAAAAGAGGUUAAAUAUUGA